AAAAGUUUUCACCAUCGGGACCUGGUCAUGAGCCUUUUGCUCUGGAAGGCACCGUGGCCAGCCAAGGUGGAGCCCUGUAGAUUUUACCUGUGUGUGGGUGUUGUCUCAUUUUGGGUGACCAGGACUGUGCUGGACGUCCCCAGGGCCGUGGCAGUGUCUGCAGUAGUUCUGCAGCCCAUAUCAGGCGGGUGGUUCUGCAGCGAAGUUCUGUUCCUGUGUGACGUAGUUUGGGUUUGUCGUGGAGCACAGGACCUGAUCUGGUUUGGGUUUAACUGAGACAAAAGACAAGAUCUACCAACCAGUGGGUGUAAAUUCAUCAGACCAAGCUAGAGAUUAAAAUAUCCAAAAUGCAGAUAAUGUGACUGUCCGGUCCUGAGCAGGGACUGCUUUGCUGUGGAACUUGGCUCUGGCUGUGCUGAUGGCUCUGAAGACAUGGCCCCAGGUAAAACAGGAGACUGCCUGGGUGGAUGGCCUGGCCAUUUCUGCACCUUGUCUUGAGCCUUAGGUUCAUGACAUGAUCCUUUGUGCAUCAGCUGGGAGAGCGCUUGGUUUGAGUGGGAAUGUGCUGGAUCUCCCCAGCAGGGAAUUCUGUCUGAACUCAGAUGAUUCCUUGGCUUUGCUGGUCAUCAGUUGGUUUGAUGUCCAUCCUGAUGUUAGCUUUGCAAAAAUAAACAUCUCAGCCCUUUCUGAGUCUUAGGCCACGUAGCAGACUGAAGUGCAAAGAGGACUGGCUGCAACACCAGCUGUGGGAGUUUGUGCUGAGCCUCCCGGGCUGUGGUGCUGAAGUGUUUUUUUCUUGAAACACUAUCUUGAAAUAUGCAAGAGGCAAAAAAAAAAAAAAGCUUCAUUCUUUCUGUCGGAGAUCUGAGAGGUGAGAGGUGUGGAUUUACUUCAGCAGCGAGAAAGGAUGGCUAGCAAGACCUUGGAGGGAGGUGGCUGUUGUGGGACCUGUCCUCUGCGUGCCACUGGGAUGGCAAGUGCAUGUCUUGGAGAGACUUAGACAGCUUUUCUGGGAAAAACCUCCUUAUGUUGAAAUGUCAUCCCAGGCAUGAUGUUGAUUUCUAUAGAGAGUUGCUUGUAAAGGUGGCUUGCAAGUUGCAUCUGAAGCCCCGUGACCAUGUUGACCCCAGUGGGUUUGGAUUUGAUACUGGACAUGGUGCAGAGACUGUGCGACAGCCCCAGUGAGUGAACAUCUUGGUGCAAGAGACCACAUGUCACUGAUGCACCUCAGAGUGCAGAGGUGGCACUGUCAUUCUUGCAGGAAGGUCUGGGAGCUGAGCCUGGGCUCUCAGACAUCAUCAUCAUCCCCCUGGACCGAUGCAGGGCCCAGCAGUGGCACAGGGCGCUGCGGGGGCUCUGCUGUGGGGUGACCCCCACGGGAAUGGUUUGAGCUCCUCUGUGGCACCACUGUGCUGAUGUGGCCGGUGCUGAGAGGAGGAUCUGUAUCAUACGUGCCUGGGUAGUUUCUGUUGCUGGGAGCUGAGGGUCAGUAAAUGAGCAGGGAUGGUUUUUCCAUUGCUGGUGAAUGUCUUGGAUGUGCAACUCAGGCCCAAACCGCUGGCUGCCCAUCGUGUCUGCAGUGCCCUCCAGCCAGGAUAUCAGAGGUUUGGCGGGUUUUGCUCUCAGUCUGGGUAGAAAGGCAGGACAGUGGUUGUGCAUCGGGCAGGACCUGUCUGUUAGGACACUGGGGAGCAGCAUUACCUUUUGAAGGGUGUCUCUCUCCCCUGGGCUGGGCUUGUUCUAGUGUCUCCCUGGGGAAUAUGUUUUAUUUCUCCAUGCUCCAUCCUGGUUGCACAGCAGUGCAGUGCAGGCUGAUGGCUUUAUUGCCCACAGUCUCCUGAGAUUUGGGACCUGCCUGCACUUGCCUUUUGCUUGGGCAUUCCAUAUGGGCAGAGGAGCUGAGACCAGCAGCUCCUGGGGGGUGAGUCUGCACUGGCACAUCGGCAUCAGCCCAUCCAGGCUCCUCAGAACUAAUGUGAGGGUCGAGAGGUGAGCACUGGGAUUUCAGGGACCAGCUCCUCUCUCUGUGUCAGUCCAGCAGAAACUGGUCCAGCUGUCUCACUUUUGGGCAAGCUGAUCUGUCAAUAUUUCAAGAAACGCCAGGGCUAAGAAUCAUGGAGAAAGGAUUUUGUGAAAUCUGGUAUUUAAACCUCCCACUCGAGUGAUGCUGAGGAGAGCUGGCAAUGUAGCAUUGGCUUAUCAGGAGCUGUGUGGGCAGGUCAGCUUAAGAAUAAUGUUGUGUGAGCAGCACCAGAGGUGAAGGAAAGAAGCCAGUGUCUGGUCAGGUACAGAGUUUAAAUGGGGUCAGAAUUUCUUUUUAUUAAAAAGAUUGUUUUAUUUAAAUAAUAAAUGACAGUAGGAUCACCGUUGCCAGGGGCUGCUGAAGGGCAACCAGGCAGGUCUGAGCAAAGCAGGGACUAGAGGCUUUGAAUUAUUUUCUCUCAUUAAUAACUCUGAACUAAGCACUGCAAAUUCAUGCAAAAGUCAUCUCUGCUUUCAUGCAUGCAAACAGUUUGGUUUGUGGAUAGGUCUGCUGUGUUCAGAGGCUCAUUCCAUCUUUAAAAAAAAAAAAAUUGGCUUCUGAGCUGCACCUGUCAAUAAAAGUCCUGGAAAAUGAGUCCUGGCAGGCUUUUCCAAGGCCGUAUGUAACUUAUCUUGUCCAAUGAAAGUCUCUAAUUGGUGGUUUAAAGUAAUUAAAAAAAAGAAUCCGUUAACGGUCAGUCUAUUUUUAGUUUAAAGGUUGGACUUUAUAUGGUCAUAAAGCAAAAUUCUUUGCUUAAUUAUGGGAAUUGAAAUACAUUGGCUUAAUUGCACUAGGAACUGCACACAAGAGUGCAGAGAGGACACGCUUUACCAGUGAUUAUCUGUUGAUAAAAUACUACACAGAGCAACAAGUGGAGGCACUCCAGGCUCCAGAAAGCAUCCUGAGGCCAGAACUGCUGAGCUGGUGGAGAAGAGAUGGCAUCAAAUCCUCUGCAGAUGGUCAGGGUCCAUUCCCACCACGGCACUGGCUGCCUUGCCUUGUAUUUGUGGAGACUUGGAACUGGACGGGAUUAAAGGGGCGAUUUAUAACCAAAGGGUUGGUUGAGGAGUUGGUUUGUGUUCUGGAGAUGCCUCCAGAAGCUGGGCAAGCAGCUGUGGGAGGUUUGAAUGGCAGAGGAUUUGGUGGUGGGACAUACAGGCUCCUGAUGAUGAGGAGAUCCAUCUGCUCAUUUGCCUCUUGAGUGGACAAGUAGGUCCCGGAAGGUGUCAGAGUGCUUGGGGCAAGCCUGGGGCUGUCAUUCCUGAAGCUGAGUUACCUGGGAAGCUAAAUUUGGGAGCCUGGGAACAAGAUAGGAUUUCAGACAUGGCGGGACCUCUUCCUGAAGUCUUAGGGCGUGCCUGGGAAAAGGAUGUGACAAGCAGGUGAAGCGAAGAGCCACAACUUCACAGCAUGUGCUGGUUUUCACUUCAGCCAAGGUGUCCCUUGACUGGUGGCAUGGGAAGUGGGCAGGGGUUUGGGAGGAUGGACUGAACACAGCGCUGGUGGAGGGCUGAGGCUGUCGGGGCUGUUCCAUCUGGGGUACCUGGAGGUUGAGGGCAGAGUUGUGUGCACAGGAGGGACGACCAGCUGCCAGGCUGUGGGCUGGACUAAGGGAUGGGCACAUCUGUGUGGAAACAUGAGACAAAAA